GGGUUUUCUAAAGGGAGGAAAUCAAAACUUAAAGCACACAAGAUGAAGAAAAUGGUGAUGAAGAAGGAACUCUAUGUCAUAACCCCUAUAUCAGGUUUUUUUAUUUUUGUUUUUAGCUUGUUUAUGCAAUUGAAUGAUUGUUUUGGUACUUUUACUAAUUGGGUAUCUUUGAAAAUGCUCAAAUUUUACUUUAUUUGUUUGUUUGUUUAUGAAUAGAAAUCUUUGUGAUGGAUCAUGUUACCUUUGAGUUUAAUUUGGUUAACUUUGUGGAGUUAAAUUUGUUCAAUUCUAUGUGAGUUGAAGUGGAGUCAGGAUUUUCGUAAAGAAUCUUUACACAUGAAGAAGCCAAGAGGAGAUAAGAGGAAGUUGCUCGAAUGAUAAACACUCAUCACUCUCAACCCUAAGGUUGUGAGUUCGAGUCGCGAAGGGAGCUAAAAAGUGUGGGAGCUCUUAGGAGGGGUAAAAAAAGAAAGAAAAAGAAGAAGAAGCCAAGAGGAUGCAACAUCUAUUAUAUAUGUACAUUAAAUCUUGAUCUUGUAUAUAUCAACUAUAAUUUUCUAGCGAAUGGGGUUCGUCUUGCGUCCCCUAGCUCUGCCCUUGUAUGUUUGUGAAUGUUUCAGAUGAACACCUCGAGUUCCUCUAGUUCCGCCUCCUGUUUGUGAGUGUAUCGUGGUGCUUUUAUUAUGGUAUUGUUGUAAAACUGUUCAUUUUGUUAUUGUCUUUGGUCUGUGAUUUUUGCUAUCUAUUGUUUGGUUAUGGGUAAGUAGGAAUCUUGGAG
rnacentral:lncRNA from 1 species